CAAUAGCGUAUAUUAAAGUUGUUGCAGUUAAUAAGCUCGUAGUUGGAUUUGUGGUGUACUUCGGCGGCCCGUCACUAUGUGAUGGAGCUUGCUGAAGUCGCCAUCCUUGGGUGGAUCCUGUGUGGCAUUAAGUUGUCGUGCAGGGGAUGCCCAUCGUUUACUGUGAAAAAAUUAGAGUGUUCAAAGCAGGCUUAUGCCGUUGAAUAUAUUAGCAUGGAAUAAUAAGAUAGGACCUUGGUACUAUUUUGUUGGUUUGCGCACCAAGGUAAUGAUUAAUAGGGACAGUUGGGGGUAUUCGUAUUUCAUUGUCAGAGGUGAAAUUCUUGGAUUUUUGAAAGACGAACUACUGCGAAAGCAUUUACCAAGGAUGUUUNCAUUA
rnacentral:rRNA from 1 species